ACUAGAUCUAGCUGAAUAUUAUCAACCUAACCUAAUUAUAUAGAACUACUAAACCAAAACAUUUACACCGCUCAAAGUAUAGGAGAUAGAAA
rnacentral:rRNA from 1 species